rnacentral:rRNA from 1 species
AACGUACGCUGGCGGCACGCCUAACACAUGCAAGUCGAACGAAGUAGCAAUACUUAGUGGCAGACGGGUGAGUAACAUGUAGGUAUCUGCCCUUUGGCCUGGAAUAACACGAGGAAACUUGUGCUAAUACCGGAUAAGUCUUUACGGAGAAAGCUUAAUGCACCAUUGGAUGAGCCUGCACUUGAUUAGUUUGUUGGUGGGGUAAUGGCCUACCAAGACUGUGAUCAAUAGCUGAUUUGAGAGGAUGAUCAGCCACAUUGGGACUGAGACACGGCCCAAACUCCUACGGGAGGCAGCAGUGGGGAAUCUUGCACAAUGGAGGAAACUCUGAUGCAGCGAUGCCGCGUGAGUGAAGAAGGCCCUUGGGUUGUAAAGCUCUUUCGUCGGGGAAGAAAAUGACUGUACCCGAAUAAGAAGGUCCGGCUAACUUCGUGCCAGCAGCCGCGGUAAUACGAAGGGACCUAGCGUAGUUCGGAAUUACUGGGCUUAAAGAGUUCGUAGGUGGUUGAAAAAGUUGGUGGUGAAAUCCCAGAGCUUAACUCUGGAACUGCCAUCAAAACUUUUCAGCUAGAGUAUGAUAGAGGAAAGCAGAAUUUCUAGUGUAGAGGUGAAAUUCGUAGAUAUUAGAAAGAAUACCAAUUGCGAAGGCAGCUUUCUGGAUCAUUACUGACACUGAGGAACGAAAGCAUGGGUAGCGAAGAGGAUUAGAUACCCUCGUAGUCCAUGCCGUAAACGAUGUGUGUUAGACGUUGGAAAUUUAUUUUCAGUGUCGCAGCGAAAGCGAUAAACACACCGCCUGGGGAGUACGACCGCAAGGUUAAAACUCAAAUGAAUUGACGGGGACCCGCACAAGUAGUGGAGCAUGUGGUUUAAUUCGAAGAUACGCGCAGAACCUUACCAACACUUGACAUGUUCGUCGCGACUCUAAGAGAUUAGAGUUUUCGGUUCGGCCGGACGAAACACAGGUGCUGCAUGGCUGUCGUCAGCUCGUGUCGUGAGAUGUUGGGUUAAGUCCCGCAACGAGCGCAACCCUCACUUUUAGUUGCCAUCAUUAAGUUGGGCACUCUGAAAGAACUGCCAGUGAUAAGCUGGAGGAAGGUGGGGAUGACGUCAAGUCCUCAUGGCCCUUACGUGUUGGGCUACACACGUGCUACAAUGGUAUCUACAACAGGAAGCAAGACGGCGACGUUAAGCAAAUCCUUAAAAGAUACCUCAGUUCGGAUUGCACUCUGCAACUCGAGUGCAUGAAGCUGGAAUUACUAGUAAUCGUGGAUCAGCGUGCCACGGUGAACGCGUUCCCGGGUCUUGUACACACCGCCCGUCACACCAUGGGAGUUGGUUCUACCUUAAGGCAAGGUUUUAAACCCUUGACCACGGUAUAGUCAGCGACUGGGGUG